UGACUUUAUUAAUGUUUAUUUGGGUUUAGUAUUCUAAUGUUAUAUAGAGUUAAUUACAGGUAGACACUCUCACUGAUCACUGACUUUAUUAAUGUUUAUUUGGGUUUAGUAUUCUAAUGUUAUAUAGAGUUAAUUACAGGUAGACACUCUCACUGAUCACUGACUUUAUUAAUGUUUAUUUGGGUUUAGUAUUCUAAUGUUAUAUAGAGUUAAUUACAGGUAGACACUCUCACUGAUCACUGACUUUAUUAAUGUUUAUUUGGGUUUAGUAUUCUAAUGUUAUAUAGAGUUAAUUACAGGUAGACACUAACUCUCACUGAUCACUGACUUUAUUAAUGUUUAUUUGGGUUUAAUAUUCUAAUGUUAUAUAGAGUUAAUUACAGGUAGACACUCUCACUGAUCACUGACUUUAUUAAUGUUUAUUUGGGUUUAGUAUUCUAAUGUUAUAUAGAGUUAAUUACAGGUAGACACUCUCACUGAUCAUUGACUUUAUUAAUGUUUAUUUGGGUUUAGUAUUCUAAUGUUAUAUAGAGUUAAUUACAGGUAGACACUAACUCUCACUGAUCACUGACUUUAUUAAUGUUUAUUUGGGUUUAGUAUUCUAAUGUUAUAUAGAGUUAAUUACAGGUAGACACUCUCACUGAUCAUUGACUUUAUUAAUGUUUAUUUGGGUUUAGUAUUCUAAUGUUAUAUAGAGUUAAUUACAGGUAGACACUAACUCUCACUGAUCACUGACUUUAUUAAUGUUUAUUUGGGUUUAGUAUUCUAAUGUUAUAUAGAGUUAAUUACAGGUAGACACUAACUCUCA